rnacentral:rRNA from 1 species
CCUACGGGGGGCAGCAGUGAGGAAUAUUGGUCAAUGGACGCAAGUCUGAACCAGCCAUGCCGCGUGCAGGAAGACGGCUCUAUGAGUUGUAAACUGCUUUUGUACGGGGGUAAACGCAGAUACGCGUAUCUGUCUGAAAGUAUCGUACGAAUAAGGAUCGGCUAACUCCGUGCCCGCCGCCGCGGUAAUAAGGAGGAUUCAAGCGUUCUCCGGAUUUAUUGGGGUUAAAGGGGGCGUAGGCGGUCGGAUAAGUUAGAGGUGAAAUCCCGGGGCUCAACGUCGGAAUUGCCUUUGAUACUGUGCGGCUAGAGAGUAGGUGAGGUAGGCGGAAUGCAUGGUGUAGCGGUGAAAUGCUUAGAGAUCAUACAGAACACCGAUUGCGAAGGCAGCUUACCAAGCUACUUCUGACGUUGAGGCACGAAAGCGUGGGGAGCAAACAGGAUUAGAUACCCCGGUAGUC